AUGCAAUUCUUCCUGUAUUCUACCAUGUGGAUCCUUCUGAAGUUAGAGAUCAGACAAAGAGUUUUGCAGAAGCAUUUUCGACGUAUGAGAGGCAAAUUGAAGCUGAAAGUGAUGAAGGAAAGAGGGAGUGGAUGGAUAAGGUCCAAAAAUGGAGAGCAGCUCUUGGAGAGGUUGCAGAUUUGGGUGGUGUUCUAGUCAACAAUCAAGA
rnacentral:misc_RNA from 1 species